rnacentral:lncRNA from 1 species
GGAGCGAGACAAUGUUCUGUCUCGUUCCACGGGAAAAUUCGGACAACCCCAUUCCAAAAGAUUUAAAAGCUUGCUUCCAAGGCUCAAGAAAGACCACCGUUGGGAUAGAAGAUGGAAGAACAUGCAGUCCCUUUCGCCUACAACCACAGCCUUGACUCCCCGUCUUGUGCACUCACCCAACUCUCUCAUCUCCACCUGGGCUUCACUCCCUGUUUCUGUUUUAGUUCCCUCCCUCUCUAUAUAGAGGGCAUUCCCUCUCACCCCUCCUCGAUUUUUUGCCAUAGCCGCUGCUCUAUCCUUCCCCGAAUCAUUUUAGCCAUGGGUCAGAGUAAGUAGCUCACCAUUUUCUGAUAGUUCUUCUUGAUUUCGUUUCCAUUUAUCUUCAAUUGAUGCUAUGAUCUUUCUUGAAAGCGAUGAAAGGUUAGAGUGUGUCGGCUCUCUGAUCUAAUCAACCAGAUUUGAUAUUUGUUGUUGCUUGUUUCGAUAUAGUUUUAUAAUUCGUUGGGA